GUCGGCGGAGAGGCAUCUUCCCUCAAUAAAAACUGGACUGUACUGGCAGACUGACACUGCCACUGACGGGUCACACUUGGGUCCACUGACCCAUAGGGGACACUCUAACCCAGAGACUAUCAGACCCAACCUCUCAACGGCUCUCGGAGCAAUAAAAGAAUGAGAUGCACCCGGGUCUAUUAAUGCAUACACAUCAGAACACCCAAUGACGAGAUUAC
rnacentral:lncRNA from 1 species